GGCUCGCCUCCUGGAGUAGGUCCACAGAGCCCAGCGUGCGGGCGGCCGAGGGGGGAAAGCCGGGGCUGUUGCCCUACCCCGCUGUUAGCGUUACGUUCCUGCUCGGUGCUAUGUUUUAUUCGUUCUUUCUAUUAAACCUCUUAAAUUCCAGCUCAGGUCCCUCCCUCAUGAAGCCUUCCUGGAUUAUUUGAACCUUCAACAAUCUCCUUCUUUCAGCUCACUCAGCAGGUAACGUAGCCCCCUAUUUGGAGCCGUCUUCUCCCUUUGUCCAGCUGCCUCUAAGGAUGCGUCUGGACGGAUCUCCACAGCUGGACAAGGGACUUCAACUCACUGUCCGGGACUGAACAUCUCCCGUCUCCCACGGCACCGGGCACACGCUGGGCUCUUCCUGCUGACCUCAGGGGAGCUGGGUUCAGAUGGCAGGAAAACGAACCUGGCUUUGCCACGCUCCAGUUCACCUGCCUCCUUGCACACCUGAGUUCAGGAGCCUCGUCCCUCCACCAGAGGGCGUGGCAGCAUGGAUGCCAGCCGCACCUGGGCUCUGCCAGGUGUUCCGACCGCAGCCCUUUGGAAGGUUCUGUCCCGCGUCCCCUCGCUGACGGACCCCAGGGCCACGUGACAUGCCUGCCCACCGCAGACUCAGCAGACGGGCUGAAUGGAGGAAGGUCAUUCCCAUGGCGCGUCCCCGAGACCCGACUCCCCGGUGGAGACCCUGCCAGCAGCACGGCCCCCAGGUAAUGGCCUUGCGGGACUCCCGGGCCUCGAGGUGCCCAGCAAGAGCACUGGGGGGGCUGCUGCUCAG
rnacentral:lncRNA from 1 species